ACACAUGUAGUAGAUGCCAUCAAUCACCAGGAAUCCAUUGCGUUAAAAAAAAUCACCAGGAAUCUAACAAGACGGUAUAUCACAGUAUAUCAUCUUUGCCAACUGUCAGAUGCUGCAGUGUUAAAUUCGAUAGCAGGAGCUCUGGCCGUUUCUUCUUGAGGCAACAAUAUUUUGUAACAGGCUUUUCUCAUGCUUAUUUAGUUAAAAAAACUACUACUUUCUGAAAAACCCACCUUUCAAAAAAGUUCGCAUAGCUUUCCGAAAUGUUUGUUAGCUAAGGUCUAUACAUGGUGUCUAUCCAAACUAACUCGUUUGUGAACCUGCACAAAGCAUGGGUAAAGUCCUACAUCUCUAUCUCUACAACUAAAACGUUUGGACUCCAAUCGUCCACAGACUUGCGAUGGCUCGCUGGCUCUCAGACUUCCGCAGCACGCGUAGGAUCCCCACGUGGUGGACCCCAACACUCGUUGGCUCUCCAGGCGCACGCACGCACGCUCCCCCAUGUAUGGACCAACGCUCCCUCCCUUGCGAGAUGCUACCUUCAAUUGCGCUCCCUUUCCCUUAGCGCCACGGUCGCCUAUGCCACAGCGUCUCUUCCUCGCAUCCGCUCGUAGCACAGGCACCAUGUCUACCAUGCCGUCCUCACCUGCGCUCGCCCACGCUCCCUGGUCCUUGCCGCGCGCAGCAGCCGCAACCCCGUGCCGCGGAGGAUGUGGUUUUUCCUCGCUGCCCUAUCCCGAGCCAUCCACCUGGUGCCGGCGGCCGUGGGUAGCACCGUAGCAGCCAGCCGCUACCGAUAGAAGAUGCUGCCGUCAUUGGCCUGUUCGUCGGGGGAGAGCGGAGAGCACGUGCGGCCACCCUGCCUAGCGCCUGGGCUCUCUGGCGUCCUGCCUGCCGCAAGCGCAUGACUGGAGCAUCACCCGCACGACGCCCAUGUCCUUCUCUCCUGCACGCUCAACCGUAGCUCCACCUUCAGUACCCUCAACGAAGGUCAUCCAUGAUGCCACCCAGCAUAGCUCGCUCGCUCCAGCGCCCUGCGAGCAGCAGCAGCACCCUCGCCCAGCCCGGCUGCAAGAACAUGAACCCGUCAAGAUCAGGCCAUUGACCCAACUGGCGGCCAUCCGAAGCUCUGAGGUCGACCUCUGACGCCGCGACCUUGGGUGCAUCCCCAAUGCCCGCGCCCAGGGCGCCUCCGACGAAUCUGCCACUGCUACCACAACCUCCUCCUCGUCUAGCCCCAACAACCUUGGGCGCAUCCCUGACGCCCGCGCCCAGGGGGCAGCCUCCGACGACUCCGCGCCGCCUCUUCGUCUGUCCCAGUGCCAGCCCCAAUGUCUCGUCCCGCGACGUCUCUCUCGACCUCCUCUCCGGUGUCUUCCCUAACCCAGCCCCAGCGCCCAAGGAGAGAGAAUCAGGCCACCUGCAGCGAGGAUCUCCUCAACACCAAGUCCAUUGAGCAUCCAGGAGGAAUUUCCUGAACGUUCUUGACUUUCUAUAGAAAUUCAACACAAGUAAGCUUUUGUCUCGGGGAUCUAGGACAUAAUGGCUGCACAACAAGUUAGGUGGUGCCAUCGAGGAAGCUAACCUUGGCAUGACCAAUUAACUUGACUUUGAAGCUCAGCUGAAUGCUAAAGGUUACAAAAGAAAGCUUCAUUCUGAGAUUCUGUUGUUGAUGCCGUGAGUGGAGGAUUCAUGUUGUUUUUGUUGCAGCUCUUCAAAACCAUGACCUUCUCUAAUUCUCAUUGUAUUUGUUGAGUGGCUUCUACCCUUUUAGUUGAUACUGAUUAUAGGUCAUAGUUGCAGGUUCAGAUAAUCCCAAGUGGAAUAUGUGUUGAGACACCUCAAUUUUAGGACUGCAAGCUAGCACUAUGGCAUUUCUCGGCUGAGUUGAAGUUUUGGAUACUCUAAUUAAUCCUUCUCUGCCUUAGUGUCGUAUGCUCUGUAGGUACUUGGUGGAUAUAAAUGCCUCUUAAAUCUUCAAUUGUGAUUCAUUGAUUGUAUAAUAUUAAUAUGCCUCUGCAAUAUGUCUGUUGGUGUGGUUUGCAUAUACAGACUACAUCAAGGCAUAAAGAUUAGCUUUAAUUUGUUCAGCUACCCAUAUUCAAUAUAAUUUGGUCACCACCUAGGGCCUUUUCUAUUGGCUCUGAUUCUUAAAGGAUGACAUCAUGAUGAUGUCAUAUAGUCUCUUUUUCUUAUAGUAAAUAAAGAAAACUAGAAAUACAAUUCCAGCCUUACAUAUGGAGGUUUCGGGCUUUCUGCUCCAUUGGACUGUCCUAUCUAGCAUUUAUAUCCAUAUCAUGAUUUUGAAUUUCUAUUCUCAUGAUACCAGCCUUACAUAUGGAGGUGUCUGGCUUUCUGCUCCAUUGGACUGUUUUAUCAAUAUAGUGUUUGAUAAGCAAAGGGGGAUUGUUAGUUCCAUAAACAAGGGAGUGAUUUUGUUUGUUUGUUCGUUUGUGUGUUGAGAGAGAGAGAGAGGGGUGGAAUGAGAGAGAGAGAGAACAUUAUGUUUGUUAGUUUCAAGAUAAAAUAAAAAACUGCUAUCAUAUUCUGUUUUAUGAAAACAUCUCACUUAUUUUUGCUUUUGCUUUAUAGAUGUAUGCAUUGGUCUGCAAGAGUGAUCUUCUAAUGUGGACUAAAUAAUUUGAUCUAGAUUCUAAUAUGAAUAUGUGGGCAUUUAUAAUGUAGGAAUAUCACAGGGCUACUAUAGUGUCAAUUUUAUUUUUUAUACCAUCUUACAGUUAACUAUUGGUAGAAAAGAAAAUAUGAUUAAUCAUGGAUACUAAAAAUAAAUUGCCAUUGAUACCGGUAGGUAUACAAGUGGUAAUUUGAGGUGCUCCCGGUGGGUGUUUUUUUGGCUCCAACAAUCUGCUUCCUGAUGGUUUGCCUCGACCUCCAUCCUAUUUUGUCGAUGCUCAUGCCCAAUGGGAUCAUUCACUCCGUUUUUAGGUUAUUAGUUAUUUUUUUUGCUAUUCACUGUAAAGUAUAUGUGCAUUCCAUUGUAGAUUAUUGCCCUCAUUCCGACUUAAGAUUUUAUGUAUUUUACUUUUAAAAGUAUUAUAGGGAUUUUAGGCCAUGUCUGGUGCCACUUCGACGAUACCACUUGCAAGGAGCCGAAGCCGCACCAAACGGAUGAGAGGGAGAAGCACUUUUGGUGACAGCAAAUGAGGAAUUGAAGUUAUUUCCAUGGUAUGAUGAUGGAGACACGAUUUUGAUGCUUAGAAUUGUACUCCAUGAAUAUGUAUAUUAUUGGUCUUACCUUUGGUGUCAACCUUUUGAUAUGUUACAUAUAUGCAAAAAUGAGAGGAUUGUAUGACAUGGAUGUGUGUAUUACACUCAAGCACAUCAAUUUUAGGUAAUUACGGCACGUGUAAACUUAAAUUAUUACAGAGUAUGGUCUAUCUUUUUCCCGUUGCAACGCACGGGCAUGAUCCUAGUUUACUUCAAAAAUGUGAACAUAUGACGAAAUAGAAGGGUUAAAUGAUCUGUCGUCUAACCAUCAGAUAACUACAACUUCACGAGUACCUACUUGCAAUUUGAGAAAAAACUAUGUUGAAAAUUCAAUAGAUGUACAUACUCUUCAUCCAAUGCAUACUGAGAGUACAGAGUUUUAUGUUAGAGUGUUGGGUUUUCUGCUGAGGAAUCUAGUUAAUCAUAGGGAUAUUGUCAAUUCUAACUUUUUUGUGAACCUGGAUUUUUUUUUCCGAAACAGAUUGCCCUGUUUCCAUAACUACAAUGGAAACUGUGGAUAAAGCACUAAUUUAAGUCAUAAUUUGUUAAUGGAUUGAAACUAUGCCGAUAUUUUGCAAUGAAAAGUUAUCUCUCAUCUAUCAGAUCACUUUCAACUGUGUAUCUGCCUUGCAUUCGACAAAAAAAUCAAGAGAAAAAUCAAUAAUUGUACACUCUUUAUCUAAUGCCCUGAUUGGGAAUUCAGAAUUUGAUACUAGGCAUACUGUACUGCUGUGCUGCUCUGUGGAAUCUAGUUAGCUAGAGGAUAUUGGUAAUUCUAAUGGGAUUUUUUUUUUCUAUUACAGGUCCAACAAAGACAGUUCCAACUAACAGUUGCAUACAAAAUUGGAGAUAAGAACAGCUUUUGAAAAGAUGUAGCAGUCUGAAACAGAACAUUACAAAUUACUGUGACACAGAAUAUGUCUGUUCUUUGGCUCAUCACUUCCCAAUACCAUAACUUAAAUAUCUAUCCAAUCACAUAGGACAAAAUAAAAAUUAAAAUAAAACUUGGCUGUGUAUGGGUGGGACAAAAUAUGUAUACCGUAAAAAAUAAGCGUUAUGAAUAAUCUACUGCUUUUAAAAAUAAAUUUAUAAGAUCAGAAAAUCUAGAAUACAAGCUUUUCCUAUUUAAUGUCAAUGAACAUGUCUAACAUCAGUCUAAUCAUAGCAUAUAAAAUUCUAAAGAGUGGAAAUAUCAUUUUGAUGUGGAAAGUAAUAUAGGAGAUUUAUGAAGCAUGAGUACUUACACAAAUGGAUUUCUGGUCUUGCAGCAGCUGUUGCAUCAAUAAGAACUGUAACUUUCUCAUAGUCCAAUGCUACAGCAUCAAAGACAGUCUGCCGAAUGCAAUUUGGUGUUUGAACUCC